AUGGACAUGAUGGCAAAUUCCGGAAGAAGAGCAGUGGGGUCCUGUGUCACUGGGAGGUCUCACAAAGAAAAAAAGGUACUUGUGAAAAGGCAAGUAUGGCUGAAUCCCCUUCUGUUCUUCGGGAAUUCUGUUAAAAGGCUGGUUGGCCUCUAUGCUCUGUCAUCUUCCAGAGGUUUCCUGAUAAAGAAAUGUGUGCUGGCCAGAAUUGAUCUCUGGCAUUACUGUCAACGGCACCCAUGAUUUGGCCCACACGGGCACAUUUUCUUUUGACUGGUCUGUAGCUGCAACCUACGCUUUCAUAUUUGCGGCAUGCUCCAUCAAACUAAUAAAGCAGCUGUUUAUUAUGCA
rnacentral:lncRNA from 1 species